rnacentral:rRNA from 1 species
GACGAACGCUGGCGGCGUGCCUAACACAUGCAAGUAGGACGCAGUUGCGAACGGGUGGGUAACGCGUAGGUAACUACCUAUUAGAGGGGGAUAAUUAUUGGAAACGAUAGCUAAUACCGCCUACUCUUCGAAGGACCUGCGUUGUAUUAGCUAGGAGGUAGUGUAAAGGCCUACCUAGGCAACGAUACAUAGCCGACCUGAGAGGGUGAUCGGCCACACUGGGACUGAGACACGGCCCAGACUCCAGCGGGAGGCAGCAGUAGGGAAUCUUCGGCAAUGGGGGGAACCCUGACCGAGCAACGCCGCGUGAGUUAAGAAGGUUUUCGGAUCGUAAAGCUCUGUUGUUAAGGAAGCGGUACUUAACCAGAAAGGGACGGCUAACUACGUGCCAGCAGCCGCGGUAAUAC